UGAAAUGCCGGUUUCCAUGCGAUCACCGAAGUUAAACAAUGUCGAUCCUAGUCAGUAUCUAGAUGGGUGACCGCUUGGAAAUACCAAGUUUUGU